rnacentral:rRNA from 1 species
GGCGUAAGCGCGCGUAGGUGGCCAAUUAAGUCAAAUGUGAAAUCCCCGAGCUUAACUUGGGAAUUGCAUUCGAUACUGGUUGGCUAGAGUAUGGGAGAGGAUGGUAGAAUUCCAGGUGUAGCGGUGAAAUGCGUAGAGAUCUGGAGGAAUACCGAUGGCGAAGGCAGCCAUCUGGCCUAAUACUGACACUGAGGUGCGAAAGCAUGGGGAGCAAACAGGAUUAGAUACCCUGGUAGUCCAUGCCGUAAACGAUGUCUACUAGCCGUUGGGGCCUUUGAGGCUUUAGUGGCGCAGCUAACGCGAUAAGUAGACCGCCUGGGGAGUACGGUCGCAAGACUAAAACUCAAAUGAAUUGACGGGGGCCCGCACAAGCGGUGGAGCAUGUGGUUUAAUUCGAUGCAACGCGAAGAACCUUACCUGGUCUUGACAUAGUAAGAACUUUCCAGAGAUGGAUUGGUGCCUUCGGGAACUUACAUACAGGUGCUGCAUGGCUGUCGUCAGCUCGUGUCGUGAGAUGUUGGGUUAAGUCCCGCAACGAGCGCAACCCUUUUCCUUAUUUGCCAGCGGGUUAAGCCGGGAACUUUAAGGAUACUGCCAGUGACAAACUGGAGGAAGGCGGGGACGACGUCAAGUCAUCAUGGCCCUUACGACCAGGGCUACACACGUGCUACAAUGGUCGGUACAAAGGGUUGCUACCUCGCGAGAGGAUGCUAAUCUCAAAAAGCCGAUCGUAGUCCGGAUUGGAGUCUGCAACUCGACUCCAUG